GAUGAACGCUGGCGGCGUGCCUAAUACAUGCAUGUCGAGCGAACAGACGAGGAUCUUGCUCCUCUGACGUUAGCGGCGGACGGGUGAGUAACACGUGGAUAACCUACCUAUAAGACUGGGAUAACUUCGGGAAACCGGAGCUAAUACCGGAUAAUAUAUUGAACCGCAUGGUUCAAUAGUGAAAGACGGUUUUGCUGUCACUUAUAGAUGGAUCCGCGCCGCAUUAGCUAGUUGGUAAGGUAACGGCUUACCAAGGCAACGAUUCGUAGCCGAACUGAGAGGGUGAUCGGCCACACUGGAACUGGGACACGGUCCAGACUCCUACGGGAGGCAGCAGUAGGGAAUCUUCCGCAAUGGGCGAAAGCCUGACGGAGCAACGCCGCGUGAGUGAUGAAGGUCUUCGGAUCGUAAAACUCUGUUAUUAGGGAAGAACAAAUGUGUAAGUAACUAUGCACGUCUUGACGGUACCUAAUCAGAAAGCCACGGCUAACUACGUG
rnacentral:rRNA from 1 species